UACGUAGGGCGCAAGCGUUGUCCGGAAUUAUUGGGCGUAAAGAGCUCGUAGGCGGUGUGUCACGUCGGCCGUGAAAACCUGCAGCUUAACUGUGGGCGUGCGGUCGAUACGGGCAUCACUGGAGUUCGGCAGGGGAGACUGGAAUUCCUGGUGUAGCGGUGAAAUGCGCAGAUAUCAGGAGGAACACCGGUGGCGAAGGCGGGUCUCUGGGCCGAUACUGACGCUGGAGG
rnacentral:rRNA from 1 species